rnacentral:lncRNA from 1 species
CCUAUGUAAUUUUUUUCCAGUACUGGGGAUUGAACCCCCUAGGGUGCUCUAUCACUGAGCUACAUCCCCAGCACUUUUAAAAUUCUGAGACAGGAGCUUGCUAAAUUGCCCACACUGCCCUUGAACUUGAGAUCCUCUUGCCUCAUCCUUCCAGAUAGCUGGGAUUACUGGCCAGGCUACCAUGCUGGCUUUGUUUAGCCUUUAAACCCUGUCAAUCAGGUGUCACUACCAUCAAUUUAUAGAUGAGGAAAUUGAGGCCUAGAGAUUAAGACCCUUACCCAAGAACACAUGGCUCAUGCUGGCAGAGCCAGGGCUCAAAUUCAAGGUCAACUAAGUCAGCCUGUCUUACCAGCAGGGAUCUCAGUAACUCACUUCCUUUUAGCAGAUUCUGUUUAAGUUUAAAGCUAGCAACUCAUUGGGUCAGAAAUCUCACCUGCUUAAUGUUAAUUACAACUCUUACCACAAAUCUCUGAGGAACAAGUUUUGGGAGUGAAGAAAUAUAGGUCGUUUACUAUAAACCAAGGAUUUCUUAUGGACACAUUAAGUAAUGCUGACCUGAAGGCCAGUUCAAGCAGUUCCAUCAUGGAAGGUCAAGUUGGAUCACAAGGUGUCAGGAUUAACUGGCAAGAACACUGCCCGCUGG